CGGGAAUGUCACUACUAGGUUCUUUUCAGAAUGUGCAAGAACCCUGGCAAGUCACAUUCAGUUGAUAGCAAAUUCCUCAUGGACUUUACUUGUGAUUUCGAAUUCCUGUUCCAUGUCUUCUGCGUCGAUUUUGCAUUAGUUUGAUAAUUGCAGCACUAGGUUCUUUGCAUUCCGAGAUGUGGUUGCUACGGUGUGCUUGCUGGGCUAAUGCCAUGCUUGUUGGGCACACUGAACUUGCUAGGGACACUGGCAUAGAGGCACACUAUGCACUGGGAUAAUGCUAUAUGUUCCUGGCACACAGUGCUAAUGCCAUACUUGCAGGGUACACUGGGAUAAUGCCAUAGUUUUCUGGCACACAGGGAUAAUGCUACACUUGUUGGGCACACUGGAAUAGUGGCACACUUACUAGGCACAAUGUGAUAGUGGUACACUGGGAUAAUGCUACACUUCCUGGGCACACAGGGCUAAUGCUACACUUGCUAGGCACAAUGAGAUAGUGGCACACUGGGAUAAUGCCAUAGUUUCCUGGCACACAAGGCUAAUGUUACACUUGCCUGGCAUGAGCAAAGUACAGAGCUUGGCUGCAUAGUGUAGGGCAGUGAGAAUGGCCAGUGUGCUAUGAUUUGUAAGCUAUGGCACAUGUUGGGCACAGUGGGUUAAGAAAUAGCUAUUCCGCAAAUGGCACCCCGACUGGGUACCUCCGCUAAAGGAUGCUCCUAGCGUUUCCUGAGGACUCCAAGCACUCUGGCAGACACCACAAUCACUGAACCGGAGAAGCAUAUGAGUACUUCUAAGCAUAUGAAUGUUGUAUACAGUCGAAUAGGAAAAACCAUGCGAAAAGGUUUACACUCCUAGCAGUCAAACUGGAACAGCAUACAAUAAAUCCUCCCCCAAUAAUGAGACGACACUUCACUUUGAGGGUUAAGCAGG